rnacentral:rRNA from 1 species
ACGCUCGACACCUACGGGAGGCAGCAGUGGGGAAUAUUGCACAAUGGGGGAAACCCUGAUGCAGCGACGCCGCGUGAGUGAAGAAGUAUUUCGGUAUGUAAAGCUCUAUCAGCAGGGAAGAAGAUGACGGUACCUGAGUAAGAAGCCCCGGCUAACUACGUACCAGCAGCCGCGGUAAUCUGAGCGGGCUGGCAAGGC